rnacentral:rRNA from 1 species
UCGGGAAUUUUGGGCAAUGGGCGAAAGCCUGACCCAGCAACGCCGCGUGAAGGAUGAAGUAUUUCGGUAUGUAAACUUCGAAAGAAUAGGAAGAAUAAAUGACGGUACUAUUAUAAGGUCCGGCUAACUACGUGCCAGCAGCCGCGGUAAUACGUAGGGACCAAGCGUUGUUCGGAUUUACUGGGCGUAAAGGGCGCGUAGGCGGCAAUUCAAGUCAUCUGUGAAAUCUCCGGGCUUAACUCGGAACGGUCAGAUGAUACUGCUUUGCUAGAGUGCAGAAGGGGCAAUCGGAAUUCUUGGUGUAGCGGUGAAAUGCGUAGAUAUCAAGAGGAACACCUGAGGUGAAGACGGGUUGCUGGGCUGACACUGACGCUGAGGCGCGAAAGCCAGGGGAGCAAACGGGAUUAGAUACCCAUGUAGUCCCUGAGCGGGCUGGCAAGGCGCAU